rnacentral:rRNA from 1 species
AGUCGAGUGCGCGCCCGUAGCAAUACGGGUGGCGCACGGCGCACGGGUGCGUAACACGUGGGUACCUGCCCUUUGAUGGGGAAUAACCCCGCGAAAGCGGGGCUAAUUCCGCAUAAGAUCCGCAAGGAUGAAAGCCGUAAGGCGUCGAAGGAGGGGCCUGCGCACGAUUAGCUAGUUGGUAGGGUAACGGCCUACCAAGGCUUUGAUCGUUAGCUGGUCUGAGAGGAUGGCCAGCCACACUGGAACUGAGACACGGUCCAGACUCCUACGGGAGGCAGCAGUGGGGAAUCUUGCACAAUGGGCGAAAGCCUGAUGCAGCGACGCCGCGUGGGGGAUGAAGCUUCUCGGAGUGUAAACCCCUUUCGACCCGGACGAAUACCUCGCAAGAGGGGUGACGGUACGGGUAUAAGAAGCCCCGGCUAACUACGUGCCAGCAGCCGCGGUAAGACGUGGGGGGCCAGCGUUGCUCGGAAUUACUGGGUGUAAAGGGUCAGUAGGCGGUGUGGCAAGUCGGGAGUGAAAUCUCUGGGCUUAACUCAGAGACUGCUUCCGAAACUGCUGUGCUUGAGUAUGGGAGAGGCGCGUGGAAUUGCAGGUGUAGCGGUGAAAUGCGUAGAUAUCUGCAGGAACACCCGUGGCGAAAGCGGCGCGCUGGACCAUAACUGACGCUGAAUGACGAAAGCUAGGGGAGCAAACAGGAUUAGAUACCCUGGUAGUCCUAGCCCUAAACGAUCAGGACUUG